UACUGUUGAUGACUUCAUGUUUGGGCUACAGGUCACUGAGAAAUCAUGCUGGUGCUGACUAGCUGUCAGAA